rnacentral:lncRNA from 1 species
GUAAUUAUGUUAGGAGAGAUUCUCAGUUCGAUCUAAUCCUGUCUAAACAGGCUGAAAGAAAUUAGUCACUCAGAAUUAUAUAAAAGGCUCUAUUGAGGCUUGCAAUGGUAAACAACAGACCCUGGAGUAUGGGGACAACACCAAGGUACUGCCAUACUUGAGGAGGAGAUGGCAUUUCUCAGCCAGUAUCAUACUGAAUAGGCAAAAGCUGAAAGCAGUCCCUUUGAAAACCAGCACAAGACAAGGAUGUCCUCUCUCACCACUCCUAUUCAACAUAGCAUUGGAAGCUCUGGCCAGAGCAUUCAGCCAAUCUUGGCAGAUUGAGGUACUGCAAAAAUCAUGAGCAGAAGACUUUAUGCCAUUGAAUGCCAUUGAGACUGUCAGUAUAACAAAGGACAGCUGUUUGUUUUUCUUCUGCUUUUCAUGGGCCAGUAUCAACUAAAGAUUGUCAAUUUUUAAGACCUUACUUAAAGAUGCAAUGAUUAGUAAAGAAAAUUCAACAAU